AUUGAACGCUGGCGGCAUGCCUUACACAUGCAAGUCGAACGGUAACAGGUUAAGCUGACGAGUGGCGAACGGGUGAGUAAUGUAUCGGAACGUGCCCAGUCGUGGGGGAUAACUGCUCGAAAGAGCAGCUAAUACCGCAUACGACCUGAGGGUGAAAGCGGGGGAUCGCAAGACCUCGCGCGAUUGGAGCGGCCGAUAUCAGAUUAGGUAGUUGGUGGGGUAAAGGCCUACCAAGCCUACGAUCUGUAGCUGGCCUGAGAGGACGACCAGCCACACUGGGACUGAGACACGGCCCAGACUCCUACGGGAGGCAGCAGUGGGGAAUUUUGGACAAUGGACGCAAGUCUGAUCCAGCCAUGCCGCGUGCGGGAAGAAGGCCUUCGGGUUGUAAACCGCUUUUGUCAGGGAAGAAAAGGUUCUGGUUAAUACCUGGGACUCAUGACGGUACCUGAAGAAUAAGCACCGGCUAACUACGUGCCAGCCGCCGCGGUAACAC
rnacentral:rRNA from 1 species